rnacentral:rRNA from 1 species
UACGUAGGGGGCAAGCGUUGUCCGGAUUUAUUGGGCGUAAAGAGCGUGUAGGCGGCCAGACAGGUCCGUUGUGAAAACUCGAGGCUCAACCUCGAGACGUCGACGGAAACCGUCUGGCUAGAGUCCGGAAGAGGAGUGUGGAAUUCCUGGUGUAGCGGUGAAAUGCGCAGAUAUCAGGACGAACACCUAUGGCGAAGGCAGCACUCUGGGACGGUACUGACGCUGAGACGCGAAAGCGUGGGGAGCGAACAGG